CUGAAAGGUACCGGUAAUCGCUCCCGGAAACUCCGGGAGAGGAAAGUCCGAACACCGUAGAGCAUCGAGCCGGCUAACGGCCGGGCGCCUGCUUCGGCAGGUGACGACAAGUGCAACAGAAAGCAGUCCAGCCGAAAGGUAAUGGGUGAAAUGGUGGGGUAAGAGCUCACCGGCGCGUGUGGUGACAUGCGCGGCCAGGCAAACUCCUCGAGGUGCAAGACCAAAUAGGGAAACGAAACCGGGCUGCUCGUCCGGGUUCCUGGAGCGAUCCGGGAGGCGUUUUCGGGUAGGUCGCAAGAGCCGUCUGGCAACAGCCGGCCCAGAUGAAUGAUUACCGCCCGGCUCGUACGGGUAACAGAAUUCGGCUUAUGGUCCUUUCCGGCGC
rnacentral:RNase_P_RNA from 1 species